rnacentral:rRNA from 1 species
CCUACGGGUGGCAGCAGUGGGGAAUAUUGCACAAUGGGGGAAACCCUGAUGCAGCAACGCCGCGUGAGUGAAGAAGUAUUUCGGUAUGUAAAGCUCUAUCAGCAGGGAAGAAGAUGACGGUACCUGAUCAAGAAGCCCCGGCUAACUACGUGCCAGUAGCCGCGGUAAUACGUAGGGGGCAAGCGUUAGCCGGAUUUACUGGGUGUAAAGGGAGCGCAGACGGCAGUGCAAGUCUGGAGUGAAAGCCCGGGGCCCAACCCCGGAACUGCUCUGGAAACCGGAGGGCUGGAGUGCGGGAGGGGCAGGCGGAAUUCCUGGUGUAGCGGUGAAAUGCGUAGAUAUUAGGAGGAACACCAGUGGCGAAGGCGGCCUGCUGGACAGUAACUGACGUUGAGGCUCGAAAGCGUGGGGAGCAAACAGGAUUAGAUACCCUAGUAGUC